CUCUGGUGAGGGCACUGUGCUUCCGUCACCAACCACACUCUUUUCUGAUGGUCUUUCUCUUUGUUCCCUGAGAUAUUUCUUCCAAACCACCAUAUUAAGAGGUAAACUGAUUCUAAGAUUUAUGAGGAAUCACAAAGGGCCAAGAAUAGCAAUGCACACUUGAAGGAAAAUAAGGUCAGAGAGUCAAGUUACUAGUCAAAUAAUCGCCUAAAAAUUAAUUUACAAAUGGUAAUUACACUUAAUCUUUAAAGGAAAAAAACCAACACUGAAAGUAACAGAAUGGGAGCUAAAUGGGGAGAACUGCAAUAUCACCUCAGACACCAUGGCCCAGAACCAUCUGUGCUCAUGCAAGACCCAUAAUUGUGUGCUCCCCAUUGCCUAUCCCUAUCCCAUGAAUCCAAGAGGGCUGCCUCAACAGUAACCUGGAGUUGGGCUAUACACACUGUUACUGGCAAGGAAAUGAGGUAUGGAGAUAUCCAGCAAUCUUCUAAAUCAAUUAAGGAUUCACCACAAGAUACAGAGAGAAAAUCCAGGAUUUAUGACUGAAGACUGUUUAUUGGACUCAGUAGUACCUCAUGAUGCUGUCAUUAAUGUUUCUACAAUGCUUUCUCAUGGAUACAGAAUCCUCUUAGUCAACACUAUCAAUUGUGUUUGUCCUGUAAGUCAAUAAAAUAAUUUUAAAAGAUUUUUUUUAAGAGAUGGGGUUUCGCCAUAUUGCCUAGGCUGGUCUCAAGAAAUCUGCCUGCCUUGGCCUCCCAGUGCUGGGACUAAAGGCGUGAGCCACCAUGACUGGCCCAAAAACUGAUCUUUUUUUUUUUUUUUUUUUUUUUUUUAAUUGAGACGGAGUCUUGCUCUGUCGCCCAGGUUGGAGUGCAGUGGCGCAAUCGCGGCUCACUGCAAGCUCCGCCUGCCGGGUUCACGCCAUUCUCCUGCCUCAGCCUCUCGGAGUAGCUGGGACUACAGGCGCCCGCCACGACGCCCGGCUAAUUUUUUGUAUUUUUAGUAGAGACAGGGUUUCACCGUGGUCUCGAUCUCCUGACCUCGUGAUCUGCCCGCCUUGGCCUCCCAUAGUGCUGGGAAAACUGAUCUUUUAAGCCCAAUAUAAAGAAGGCCAAAGGAGGAAUGUUGCCUCUGCCUGGCUGUCUCAUCUGUGGUAGAGCUAAAAGUAAACAGAUCAGGGCCUUGGUUGGUGAAGACUCCACUUUAAAAGUUUCAGUUGAAUAUAGUUGAUUUUGGAAUAAGUCCAAAGAAGGAAGAAGGUUCUACUUCUGAGAUGGAAGCCCAUGAAGGCAUUAUGCCAGGAAAGAUUUUAAAAGCCAGGAAAUGAAUCAGGAUGGUUGUGAAUGGAGAAAGUCAAACACAUCAAUAAAUCAGGAGGGCCAGGCAGAUGAGAAACCAAAAAACGUAGCCAGCUUUGGCAAAUGCUCAUUACAAAUGAGAUUCCAGCCAGAUGAGCUGGUGGUUUAUUCAUUCACUCCAUUGUUCUUUUUAUCUAUGACAUAAUGGUUCAGUGUAAUUUCCAUAAAGCAAGACAUAUCUAUUCACUUUAGGUUGUUGUGUUCAUUAAAUGGAGAAAUCAUGUUUUCUAAAUUCUGACCUAUUGUUUGGUAUUGCACCUUUCGUGAACUCCAAAAAUAAUCUAAGAGGAAGAUCUUAAGCUUUAGUAUAAGUGGCAUCUUUUUUCAAGGAUGAAAAUUUAACAUGUAAGCUAGUGUUAAAUUCCUGACAAAUAUUCAUCAACAAAUGUACUUUCUACUGUACUCAAGACAAGAUGGUGUUAGGAGCUAGAGACUGAGCAUAUUGCUAAAUGGCCAUGGCCUUGAGAUUUAGUAAUGUGAAUUUAAGGGGAACAAGAAGUUCUCCAGUUCUCUACUCAAAUUAUUAUUGCUCAGAGCAAGCUAUUAGAUAUAAAUCUGAGAAACAAAAGAAAGACCAAUUAGAUAAUCUAUUUAUGCCUUGGAGAACUAAGCAAAAUGAGAAUGCUUCUAAUUUGUUUUGCUUGAAUAAACUCCAAUCAAAAGAUUGCCCUUUUGCAUGAUAACCAUAAUAACAUAGUAGACAGUUUUAUAAAUCUCACAUUUAUAAUUUGAAGUUUUGACAAGGCAUUUCUAAGUGGCAUUUCAGGAUUCUUAUCAAUUAUUUUAUUGACUGUAAAAUUACAUUUAGUGACUUGCUUAAGCUUUCUCUGCAAAUCAGGAUUUAGAAUCAAAUCCUUGCUUUACUUAAUAAUACUAUUUCUGAACACCAUAAAAUUUUUCCAAUUACAAAAAGCACUAUUUUAUCUGUUAUAUGGUACAGCUAUGGGCUGUAGUAAAAGCUACAGACUUUUUACCACUUUUCUUGGUCCUGAAGGAAAGGAGACAGAAGAUGUCCAUGUCUGCUUCAUAAAGCAUUAGAAAAGGUGAUCUUACAGAUGGAAAAACAUUCCAUUGAGAUAACUGUAAAAUUCAAAUCUAAUUAAACCCUGGCAUUGGGAGGUCUAUUAUUGCUUCUUCUUAUUUAAUGUAUAAUCAUUGAUAAAGCAAUACCUCUAAAAUGGGCCUUUGAAAACUAAACUUUUUUUUUUGUUUACUUUUUUUGUAACAAAAAGGUGGGGAAAUUUGAAAAGUUCGCUUCUUUGUAUGUUUAUGUGUAUGUUUUGAGUGUGUUUAAUUUCCUGCUUGUUUAGCUUUCUUUUAUAAUUUAAUUUUGCUGCUUAUGAUAAUACUGAGUAAUAUAAAGUACUUAGAAAAGACAUAUAGAUAUUUUUAAAUUAUAUACGUAGUCAUUAAAUCCUCACAACAACCCUAUGAGAUAAUAAAUUAUUGUCGUUAUUUUGUGAAUUGAGAAACUGAAGCACAAAUAUAUGUAAAUAACUUGUCCUGAACAUUCUUAUUUUAUAUUUCAACAGUAUCACUGAAAUUUGCUGUUCAAAUAUCACAAACUAUUCCUUGAAGGAUUUUCAUGUAAUAUAAAAAUAACAGGCUGGGGAAAUUCGCUUUCCAAUUAUUGAUUUUUAAGUUAAAACAUAAUUCCUGAAUUAAUUUAUUUGUCUUUCUUGAAGUUAGACAGCCAAUGUGUAUUUGAGUCUAGGAUGGAAUUCAAGCUAGGCAUUUUUAUAGAAAUUAACAUAUGCAAAUAUGUCAUUAUUUUAAAAAAUUUCCCUGCUAUAUAUAAAUAGAAAAGAUUUUUGAAUGAAGUAAACAGAUACAUUAACUGUCUUUCUUUUUCUUUCCCUCUAGAUAUUGAUUUUUC
rnacentral:lncRNA from 1 species